rnacentral:rRNA from 1 species
GAUGAACGCUGGCGGCGUGCCUAACACAUGCAAGUCGAGCGGCAGCGAGGGGUGCUUGCACCCUGUCGGCGAGCGGCGGACGGCUGAGUAACGCGUGGGAACGUGCCCCAAAGUGAGGAAUAACUGCCCGAAAGGGUAGCUAAUACCGCAUAUUAUCUUCGGAUCAAAGGAUUUAUCCGCUUUGGGAGCGGCUCGCGUCGGAUUAGGUAGUUGGUGAGGUAAUGGCUCACCAAGCCGACGAUCCGUAGCUGGUCUGAGAGGAUGACCAGCCAGACGGAACUGAGACACGGUCCAGACUCCUACGGGAGGCAGCAGUGAGGAAUCUUCCACAAUGGGCGAAAGCCUGAUGGAGCAACGCCGCGUGCAGGACGAAGGCCUUCGGGUUGUAAACUGCUUUUAUAAGUGAGGAAUAUGACGGUAACUUAUGAAUAAGGAUCGGCUAACUACGUG